AUACGGAGGAUCCGAGCGUUAUCCGGAUUUAUUGGGUUUAAAGGGAGCGUAGGUGGACAGUUAAGUCAGUUGUGAAAGUUUGCGGCUCAACCGUAAAAUUGCAGUUGAUACUGGCUGUCUUGAGUACAGUAGAGGUGGGCGGAAUUCGUGGUGUAGCGGUGAAAUGCUUAGAUAUCACGAAGAACUCCGAUUGCGAAGGCAGCUCACUGGACUGCAACUGACACUGAUGCUCGAAAGUGUGGGUAUCAAACAGGAUUAGAUACCCUGGUAGUCCACACAGUAAACGAUGAAUACCCGCUGUUUGCGAUAUACAGUAAGCGGCCAAGCGAAAGCAUUAAGUAUUCCACCUGGGGAGUACGCCGGCAACGGUGAAACUCAAAGGAAUUGACGGGGGCCCGCACAAGCGGAGGAACAUGCGGUUUAAUUCGAUGAUACGCGAGGAACCUUACCCGGGCUUAAAUUGCAUUUGAAUAUAUUGGAAACAGUAUAGUCGUAAGACAAAUGUGAAGGUGCUGCAUGGUUGUCGUCAGCUCGUGCCGUGAGGUGUCGGCUUAAGUGCCAUAACGAGCGCAACCCUUAUCUUUAGUUACUAACAGGUCAUGCUGAGGACUCUAGAGAGACUGCCGUCGUAAGAUGUGAGGAAGGUGGGGAUGACGUCAAAUCAGCACGGCCCUUACGUCCGGGGCUACACACGUGUUACAAUGGGGGGUACAGAAGGCAGCUACCUGGUGACAGGAUGCUAAUCCCAAAAGCCUCUCUCAGUUCGGAUCGAAGUCUGCAACCCGACUUCGUGAAGCUGGAUUCGCUAGUAAUCGCGCAUCAGCCAUGGCGCGGUGAAUACGUUCCCGGGCCUUGUACACACCGCCCGUCAAGCCAUGAAAGCCGGGGGUACCUGAAGUACGUAACCGCAAGGAGCGUCCUAGGGUAAAACUGGUAAUUGGGGCU
rnacentral:rRNA from 1 species